ensembl:lncRNA
GCAGUACAGUAUGGUGGCAUGGAGAGAAGAAAUAACCCAUAUACCACAGGCAUUUCUAUUAAUAUCAACCAUUAAGAUGGCAAAUGUCAGGACCAUUCUUAGAUGAAUACACAGUGGGAGUGCUUGGGAGGGAUGCUAGGUGAUUUACUCUUUCAAGCAGAUGGCCGCAGAGGGAGAAGACUAAGAAUGGACUACAUUGACUCUAAAAUGCUGAAUAAGAGGCUGCCACAUGCUGCCUAUUUGUUCUGCAAGCCACGGAGUGGGAGGAGAACUGUGUUAUUCCCCUCCUCUUACUGUAAC